GCUUAAUAAUAAGAUAUUUUUGUCAGUUUUCAUUGAACGGGACAAAAUUCACAGAUGGCUAAAAUUGGAUAAAGAUUAGUAAGAAACAAUGCAAAACGUCAGUCUAUGUACAAUACGUGGUAACAGAAAUUGUAUACAACAUACUACUAGAUUUAAAUUAAUACUGAUAAAAUGACUAUACAUGUAUUAAUUUCAGUUAUUUCAGGCUGAAACAUUUAUCAUGACAGAUCAGGGUGCAGGAUCACGUGACUUUGUGGGGUUCCCAAUUAAACAUUAAUGGACUUGAACACACCGCCCGUGUGAAAACCCCCGAGAACCCUGUUGAUUCGGCACUUUGUAGACAUGUUCAUUCGCUACAACCACCUGAACAAACCCGAAUGGAAACAUCCCGUCCGUGUGGCCCUCGGCGCUGAAUUUUGCUCGCCAGUCGUUGAUCAUGGCCUGGAAGCGGCACUUGUAUGAGUCAGGAGCGCCUGCAUUGGCCUCUCCUGCAGAAUCAGCCCAAAGUUAGGGCCAUUCUUGAACCCACACUAUGUAUAUAUAUACCACUAUAUGAUGUGCGUUAUGGAUAAACAAUCAUAGUGGAUUAAUGCGAAUGUGGAUAUAGACGAUGGCGAUUUUAAAAUACAGUUACGACAAAUGGUGGCAUAAAUAAUAUUGAACUAGAGAGGCUAGUGUUAGCAUUGUUGGGACUAAGUAUGUACUCGAACCGACCAGUUGCUAAAACAUACACGCCUGAUACGAUCUGUUCUCAUAAGGUUGAUUGUCUCAGGAUUUGAAGUAAAACGAUUAAAUUAUACGUACAAUUGCUAAACGUAGAAUUUACCAAAAAAACGAAAACACAUAAGCAGUCAUUAAGUUCCUUGAUUGACAUAUUUGACUAGUGAGCAAAAAUCAUAAUUUAAACGUAACUGGUGCAUCUAGUAAAUAUUUGACGUAUUUAUUUAAAUAAAUACUCUGCCAGGUGAUGUCAGUUACAAAUUAUGAACAUAUACUAGUAUGACACAGUCAAGUUACUAAAUCGAUCAUAAACUUUUUAGCACGCAUGAUCAACGCGUUUACGUACCUUGGUACCAGAUGGCGCCAUAGAUGGUCAUAUUCAGAAGCGGAUUUAUCAUGGCGUUCCAGAGCUGGGUGGGCGUGUUUUGGUCGGCCACACCAAAGUUAGGCACAGCUGAAUUGGGGCGUUCCACGAUAGACGGCGCAUCAGACUGGAGAA